GUGCUCGCUUCGGCAGCACAUACACUAUAAUUGGUGGAACAAUGCAGAGAAGAUUAACAUGGCCCCUGCACGAGGAUGACACGCAAAUUCGAGAAGUGUUCAUUAACAAA